rnacentral:rRNA from 1 species
UAGCAAUACGAUGGAAAAUUUAGUGGCGAACGGGUGCUUAACACGUGGGCAACCUGCCAGGAAGUGGGGGAUAGCUCGCCGAAAGGCGAAUUAAUACCGCAUGUGAUUAGAGAGGACAUCCUUUCGAAAUUAAAGUCGGGGCAACCUGACGCUUUUUGUGGGGCCCGCGGCCUAUCAGCUAGUUGGUGAGGUAAUGGCUCACCAAGGCUUUGACGGGUAGCUGGUCUGAGAGGACGACCAGCCACACUGGGACUGAGACACGGCCCAGACACCUACGGGUGGCAGCAGUCGAGAAUUUUUGACAAUGGGGGAAACCCUGAUCGAGCGACGCCGCGUGGAGGAUGAAGGUCUUCGGAUUGUAAACUCCUGUCAUUGGGGAACAAUGCGCAAAUAUUAACUGUAUUUGUGUUGAUAGUACCCGAAGAGGAAGAGACGGCUAACUCUGUGCCAGCAGCCGCGGUAAUACAGAGGUCUCAAGCGUUGUUCGGAUUCAUUGGGCGUAAAGGGUGCGUAGGCGGCGCGGUAAGUCGGGUGUGAAAUCUCGGAGCUUAACUCCGAAACUGCAUUCGAUACUGCCGUGCUUGAGGACUGGAGAGGAGACUGGAAUUCACGGUGUAGCA